rnacentral:rRNA from 1 species
UGGCGAGUGGCGAACGGGUGAGUAAUACAUCGGAACGUGCCCUGUAGUGGGGGAUAACUAGUCGAAAGAUUAGCUAAUACCGCAUACGACCUGAGGGUGAAAGUGGGGGACCGCAAGGCCUCAUGCUAUAGGAGCGGCCGAUGUCUGAUUAGCUAGUUGGUGAGGUAAAGGCUCACCAAGGCGACGAUCAGUAGCUGGUCUGAGAGGACGAUCAGCCACACUGGGACUGAGACACGGCCCAGACUCCUAAGGGAGGCAGCAGUGGGGAAUUUUGGACAAUGGGCGAAAGCCUGAUCCAGCAAUGCCGCGUGUGUGAAGAAGGCCUUCGGGUUGUAAAGCACUUUUGUCCGGAAAGAAAUGGCUCUGGUUAUACCUGGGGUCGAUGACGGUACCGGAAGAAUAAGGACCGGCUAACUACGUGCCAGCAGCCGCGGUAAUACGUAGGGUCCAAGCGUUAAUCGGAAUUACUGGGCGUAAAGCGUGCGCAGGCGGUUGUGCAAGACCGAUGUGAAAUCCCCGAGCUUAACUUGGGAAUUGCAUUGGUGACUGCACGGCUAGAGUGUGUCAGAGGGGGGUAGAAUUCCACGUGUAGCAGUGAAAUGCGUAGAGAUGUGGAGGAAUACCGAUGGCGAAGGCAGCCCCCUGGGAUAACACUGACGCUCAUGCACGAAAGCGUGGGGAGCAAACAGGAUUAGAUACCCUGGUAGUCCACGCCCUAAACGAUGUCAACUAGUUGUUGGGGAUUCAUUUCCUUAGUAACGUAGCUAACGCGUGAAGUUGACCGCCUGGGGAGUACGGUCGCAAGAUUAAAACUCAAAGGAAUUGACGGGGACCCGCACAAGCGGUGGAUGAUGUGGAUUAAUUCGAUGCAACGCGAAAAACCUUACCUACCCUUGACAUGCCACUAACGAAGCAGAGAUGCAUUAGGUGCUCGAAAGAGAAAGUGGACACAGGUGCUGCAUGGCUGUCGUCAGCUCGUGUCGUGAGAUGUUGGGUUAAGUCCCGCAACGAGCGCAACCCUUGUCUCUAGUUGCUACGAAAGGGCACUCUAGAGAGACUGCCGGUGACAAACCGGAGGAAGGUGGGGAUGACGUCAAGUCCUCAUGGCCCUUAUGGGUAGGGCUUCACACGUCAUACAAUGGUGCAUACAGAGGGUUGCCAAGCCGCGAGGUGGAGCUAAUCCCAGAAAAUGCAUCGUAGUCCGGAUCGUAGUCUGCAACUCGACUACGUGAAGCUGGAAUCGCUAGUAAUCGCGGAUC